GGGAGGUAGUGACAAGAAAUAACAAUACAGGGCUUAAAGUCUUGUAAUUGGAAUGAUGGGAAUCUAAACCCUUCCCAGAGUAUCAAUUGGAGGGCAAGUCUGGUGCCAGCAGCCGCGGUAAUUCCAGCUCCAAUAGCGUAUAUUAAAGUUGUUGCAGUUAAGAAGCUCGUAGUUGAAUUUCUGCCUUGUCAUUAAUCUCGCUUCCGAGCGUUUUUUUAUUGACUUGGCAUCUUCUGGAUUUGGUGCCUUCGGGUACUAUUUUCCAGGAUUUACUUUGAGAAAACUAGAGUGUUUCAAACAGGCAUUCGCCUUGAAUACUACAGCAUGGAAUAAUGAAGUAGGACUUUGGUUCUAUUUUGUUGGUUAUUGAGCCAGAGUAAUG
rnacentral:rRNA from 1 species